ACGGGUGAGUAACGCGUAGGAAUCUGCCUUAAAGAGGGAGACAACCCGAGGAAACUCGGGCUAAUACCGCAUAAUCUCGCGAGAGAAAAGCUGGGUUUUGGCCUGGCGCUUUAAGAGGAGCCUGCGUCUGAUUAGCUAGUUGGUAGGGUAAAGGCCUACCAAGGCGAUGAUCGGUAGCUGGUCUGAGAGGAUGACCAGCCACACUGGAACUGAGACACGGUCCAGACUCCUACGGGAGGCAGCAGUGGGGAAUAUUGGACAAUGGGGGCAACCCUGAUCCAGCAAUACCGCGUGUGUGAAGAAGGCCUUCGGGUUGUAAAGCACUUUAGUUGGGGAGGAAGGUUGGUAGUUUAAGAGAUAGCCAAUUUGACUGUACCCAAAGAAUAAGCACCGGCUAACUCUGUGCCAGCAGCCGCGGUAAUACAGAGGGUGCGAGCGUUAAUCGGAAUGACUGGGCGUAAAGGGCGCGUAGGCGGUUAUAUAAGUUAGAUGUGAAAUCCCUGGGCUUAACCUAGGAACUGCAUUUAAAACUGUAUGACUAGAGUGCAGUAGAGGGUAGUGGAAUUUCCGGUGUAGC
rnacentral:rRNA from 1 species